UGUAUCCAGCUCGAUUCCAGCAUCCUGUUCGUCAUCGCCAUCUACGUUUGCAGCCAGAACAAACAUUAUCUCUCCAGCACACACCCAUGGAUUAAAGGCACCUCCGUCCUAUCCAAUUGGACUCAAUUUAUCCAAAUUUAACAUCGGAUCUUUCUUAAAAUCAGACACAGGAUGCGUAAACGCCUACACGUCUAUUUCGUCCAGUUUAAAUCAUUUCAAUCCAAGUCUUACGUCUAGACCAUUCUUCUUUUCGGAAACAGUAUCACCUUAUGUUCCACAUCGAAAACGACGCGAAAACAAACCCAGGCGUCAAAGAACUACUUUCAGCAGCGAACAGACGUUAAAAUUAGAGAUGGAAUAUCGACGAGCAGAAUAUGUUACCAGGACUAGACGAUUAGAACUAGCAGAUGAUCUUCAACUAACAGAAACACAAAUUAAAAUAUGGUACCAAAAUCGCCGAGCUAAAGACAAACGUAUUGAAAAAGCUCACCUUGAUCACCAUUUUAGAUCUAUCAGUUUAAACAACAUGUCAACUGGUUCACCCUAUCCUGCUCUAAAUCCAUCAGUUCAUGGCAUGUAUGGCUGGGAUCCUUGGGUGUUACGUUCUCAGAUGGAAGCCGCGUCAACCAAAGUCCAAGUUUAAUUUAAUGACACACCAACGAUACUUUAAAAAGCAACCUCCAUAAACAGCACAAGUGGACGUUAAUAAACAAAAAUUAGCUGUAGAAUAAACAAGUGGAAUCGAAAAGUUCCUGAGUAAUGAGCAGUCCAAGGAUAUAUUGGUCCAAUUUGACGUUCAGCAGUCUGAUUAAAAUCAUAUGUUUCGUGUCAUUUCUUUGAGAACGGUGUUCAGAUCACGUGGACAGAUUGGCCAAUCAAAUCGUCAUACUGGUACACGGGGCUUCGUUUUGCGGGGAGUUUUGGAGAAAUGUAAUACCCAAAGCGAAAGCGUGAAUUCGACAGUACUGGGUUAUAGGACGAGUAUUUAGAAACAUGGUAGAAAAUUGGUUAGAUUACAAGUUAAGCUAAAAAAAAAGAAGAAAGAAAAAAAAAAGAAACGAAACGAAAUUGUAAUUUGAUUUUAAUAUGAAUGGCUUUUCAGUUCUGUACACUAUAUUGUUAU